rnacentral:piRNA from 1 species
UAUGUGGUUUUUUUCCUGGUGUCGUUAG